rnacentral:rRNA from 1 species
UACGUAGGGACCGAGCGUUGUCCGGAUUCAUUGGGCGUAAAGGGCUCGUAGGCGGCUGCUCAAGUCGAAUGUGAAAACUCGAGGCUCAACCUCGAGCCUGCAUUCGAUACUGGGCGGCUAGAGUCUGGUAGGGGGAUCUGGAAUUCCUGGUGUAGCGGUGAAAUGCGCAGAUAUCAGGAGGAACACCGGUGGCGAAGGCGGUUCUCUGGGCAUUACCUGACGCUGAGGAGCGAAAGUGUGGGGAGCGAACAGG